rnacentral:rRNA from 1 species
CCUACGGGUGGCAGCAGUGGGGAAUAUUGGACAAUGGGGGGAACCCUGAUCCAGCGACGCCGCGUGAGUGAAGAAGUAUUUCGGUAUGUAAAGCUCUAUCAGCAGGGAAGAAAAUGACGGUACCUGACUAAGAAGCCCCGGCUAACUACGUGCCAGCAGCCGCGGUAAUACGUAGGGGGCAAGCGUUAUCCGGAUUUACUGGGUGUAAAGGGAGCGUAGACGGUGCAGCAAGUCUGAUGUGAAAGGUCGGGGCCCAACCCCGGGACUGCAUUGGAAACUGUUGAACUGGAGUACAGGAGAGGUAAGCGGAAUUCCUAGUGUAGCGGUGAAAUGCGUAGAUAUCUGGAGGAACAUCAGUGGCGAAGGCGACUAUCUGGCACAUAACUGACGCUGAGGAGCGAAAGCGUGGGUAGCAAACAGGAUUAGAUACCCCUGUAGUC